rnacentral:rRNA from 1 species
GAUGAACGCUGGCGGCGUGCCUAAUACAUGCAAGUCGAGCGAAUGGAUUAUGAGCUUGCUCUUAUGAAGUUAGCGGCGGACGGGUGAGUAACACGUGGGUAACCUGCCCAUAAGACUGGGAUAACUCCGGGAAACCGGGGCUAAUACCGGAUAACAUUUUGAACCGCAUGGUUCGAAAUUGAAAGGCGGCUUCGGCUGUCACUUAUGGAUGGACCCGCGUCGCAUUAGCUAGUUGGUGAGGUAACGGCUCACCAAGGCAACGAUGCGUAGCCGACCUGAGAGGGUGAUCGGCCACACUGGGACUGAGACACGGCCCAGACUCCUACGGGAGGCAGCAGUAGGGAAUCUUCCGCAAGGGACGAAAGUCUGACGGAGCAACGCCGCGUGAGUGAUGAAGGCUUUCGGGUCGUAAAACUCUGUUGUUAGGGAAGAACAAGUGCUAGUUGAAUAAGCUGGCACCUUGACGGUACCUAACCAGAAAGCCACGGCUAACUACGUGCCAGCCGCCGCGGUAA